rnacentral:rRNA from 1 species
ACAUGCAAGUCGAACGGAAAGGCCCUGCUUGCAGGGUACUCGAGCGGCGAACGGGUGAGUAACACGUGGGUGAUCUGCCCUGCACUUCGGGAUAAGCCUGGGAAACUGGGUCUAAUACCGGAUAGGAGCCAUCUUUAGUGUGGUGGUUGGAAAGUUUUUUCGGUGUAGGAUGAGCUCGCGGCCUAUCAGCUUGUUGGUGGGGUAAUGGCCUACCAAGGCGGCGACGGGUAGCCGGCCUGAGAGGGUGUACGGCCACAUUGGGACUGAGAUACGGCCCAGACUCCUACGGGAGGCAGCAGUGGGGAAUAUUGCACAAUGGGCGCAAGCCUGAUGCAGCGACGCCGCGUGGGGGAUGAAGGCCUUCGGGUUGUAAACUCCUUUCGCUAGGGACGAAGCUUUGUUGUGACGGUACCUAGAUAAGAAGCACCGGCUAACUACGUGCCAGCAGCCGCGGUAAUACGUAGGGUGCGAGCGUUGUCCGGAAUUACUGGGCGUAAAGGGCUCGUAGGUGGUUUGUCGCGUCGUCUGUGAAAUUCUGGGGCUUAACUCCGGGCGUGCAGGCGAUACGGGCAUAACUUGAGUGCUGUAGGGGUAACUGGAAUUCCUGGUGUAGCGGUGAAAUGCGCAGAUAUCAGGAGGAACACCGAUGGCGAAGGCAGGUUACUGGGCAGUUACUGACGCUGAGGAGCG